rnacentral:rRNA from 1 species
UCGAGUGGCGCAACGGGGUGCAGUAACACGUGGGUGAUCUGCCUUGCACUUCGGGAUAAGCUUGGGAAACUGGGUCUAAUACCGGAUAGGACAGCUGUUUAGUGUCAGUUGUGGAAAGUUUUUUCGGUGCAAGAUGAGCUUGCGGCCUAUCAGCUUGUUGGUGGGGUAAUGGCCGUGACCAAGGCGUCGACGGGUAGCCCGGCCUGAGAGGGUGUACGGCCACAUUGGGACUGAGAUACGGCCCAGACUCCUACGGGAGGCAGCAGUGGGGAAUAUUGCACAAUGGGCGGAAGCCUGAUGCAGCGACGCCGCGUGGGGGAUGAAGGCCUUCGGGUUGUAAACUCCUUUCGACAGGGACGAAGCGUAAGUGACGGUACCUGUAUAAGAAGCACCGGCUAACUACGUGCCAGCAGCCGCGGUAAUACGUAGGGUGCGAGCGUUGUCCGGAAUUACUGGGCGUAAAGAGCUCGUAGGUGGUUUGUCGCGUCGUCUGUGAAAUUCCGGGGCUUAACUCCGGGCGUGCAGGCGAUACGGGCUGACUUGAGUGCUGUAGGGGAGACUGGAAUUCCUGGUGUAGCGGUGAAAUGCGCAGAUAUCAGGAGGAACACCGAUGGCGAAGGCAGGUCUCUGGGCAGUAACUGACGCUGAGGAGCGAAAGCAUGGGUAGCGAACAGGAUUAGAUACCUGGUAGUCCAUGCCGUAAACGGUGGGCGCUAGGUGUAGGGGGCUUCCACGUCUUCUGUGCCGUAGCUAACGCAUUAAGCGCCCCG